ACCUCUUCCCUUUGGUCUUGUGGAGAAUCCGCUUGUUGUAGUAGUAGCUGUGAGCAGAGGGAGGACACUGAUGCAGAGGUGAAGGCAGAGCCCCCAACACUUGCUUGGCGCCCAGCACAGAACACAACAGCUUGGGGAAACUGAGGCCAAAGUCACAGGGCCAGGCAGGGGCUGGGAUCCUGUCCUGUGUGGCUCUAAAGUCCAGGGCUUUGGUCCUUCACUCACAAGUGGAUACUUAUGGUAGCUACAGGCACAGAGCCCUGUGCACUGGGAUCCCAUACGAUUCUGCCCCCAGGAAGUUGAGGGAAAGCCCCCAGGGGACAGGGCCCCAGAGGGACAGUGAGGGGAGCAGGACAAGGUCCCCAGCCCCUCCUCACCGCAGAGCCCGGCUCAGCUUGUCAUAAUUCAUGUGAGGCUUGCACUUCCGGAUGCCCCAGAGCCGAGCCACCUCGUCGGGGUCCUUGAUGACGAACUCCCCAUAGUCCCCUUGCCAGGCGAUGACACCCUGGUACUCCUCUUUCUGCAGCAGCUCCAGGAUAAAGUGCCACAGCUGGAUCUGCCUGGAGCCGGGGGACGACUCCGGCUUGUAGGCCCAAUCCGGGAAGGCAAAGCCUGGAGACAGGAGGCAGGGAAGUGGCCCCAGGGCUCUGUCUAAAGAGGAGAGAGACGCGGCCCAAGACCCUUCUCCCGCAGCCCCCACACGCAUGCACACACACACUGACAGACACACACAUCACACCCGGACACAGAGAUACACCCACACACACCCCCCUUGGUGCUCCAUCUGCACCCAGCCUGGUACACACGCCUCCAUUUACCACACACCCAUGUAGGACAGACCUGUGCACACAGCAGACACACAGUAGACCCCCUGUGCAUGCACACACACUCUCUCUGCACACACAUGACUAGGCACCCUUCACACACACCACACAUAAACACACACUGUCCCACCUGGGUGCACACAGCCGGCCGCCUGUUCUCAUACACUAUGUUAGCACAUACUCCCUGCACACCUGUCUGUACAGACUAUUCCACAUCCAUGGGUACACAAACCUAGGCCCCAGGACCUCCCAUGAUAGGUACCAAGGAGACCCCCGUGGCUGUCCCAGGGAGGAAGGGGUCAGGAAGGUGAUAGGGGCUCUCCUGCCUGGCCUUGCCUCCACUCCCAAGGUCACCCACUCUACCCCCGCCCACAUCCACCAAAUGGUCUGACCUGACCACAGGCAGGGGUGUUCUUGUGUGUGUAUACGCACACACACACACACACACCCUUGUCUCUACUUCUGUCAAGGCCACACACUGUCAUCCCCACAACCGCCCAGCUCGUUUGAGACCUGGCUCAUCCCCACAGGAAACAGGGACGGAAACACGGGCAGCUGUGACAAACGGGGCCACAACACACACGGUGACACCACACCCAGGCCGGCGCCCACACGGCAUCGGCGUGCAGCCCCGCACACCGCUGAGCAUCGGUUUACACAAGCGGUGCACACGUACACCACCAAACAGCUCACAUGAAUACACAGCCAGACACACACAGCCUUCCACACCCUUCAGGGCUGGCCACACACAGUCUCGUUCAUGUAUCCGUCAUGAACUGAUGCCCCUUAUCCAGCUCCCCAAAUGACCACACACACAUGUACACACACCCGGCCCACGCCUGACCCCAGACUCAGACACAAGCCCACACACAACGGCACCCCCUGCACACAAAGGCACCGCCGCACACAGCCAGCCUCUGAUGCAGCAGUUCGGGGGGAACUUUUGCGACCGUGUCCAGAGCUGUCCCUGUGCCAUGUUCCUCAUACUCACGCUCACCAGCCUGGCUCCUGGGGUCCCACCAGGGCGGCGCUCUCGGUCCUUCCACCCCGCCUCCCUGGGGCUAAGCCUGCUGGGCUCCUGGCUCUCAGGCAGGUCCUCUCUUGGCCACUCAGACACGCCGUGUGCCACCUGACCCAGAAGCUCCGAACACGGCACAUCUCCAGGGCUUCGGGGGCAGACAGCUGAGCAUCACACCCCAGUCACACACAUGGGCAUAAACAUGACAUGCGUGGUUCAGUUCAACCGCAAGGCCUCACGCACCCACACUUAGUCACUGUGCCCAGGAACACACACCUCUCCACAAGCCACGUUUACAUGUGCUGUAACAGAGGUCCCACGGUCUCACGAAAAGGCAGCCAAGCCCCCCCAAAGCAUCACACACACCACAGACACACACAGUCCAGACAGCUUGCACACAUGCACACACAGGCGUGCACACACCCCCAGGAACCUCUGCCCAGGCUGACUGUGCAAGACGGAGGGACAGUUUGGCAGACAGACGGGGCACCGGCUUCCAGCCUGGAGAAGGUGGGUGUGGGGUGCUUGGGAGGCACGAAGCCAGGGCAGGAAAAGAGACCUCAGACCCACCCGCACACUGCCUGUCCCUCUAGCUGGCAUCUCUGAGGUGGUGUGUGUCUCUCGAGGUCUCAGUCUCUCUCCCUGAGUUCCAGUCUCUGCAUGGAUGUCUCUGGGGCUGCGGCCAGCGCUCCGAACGGUGUCAGGAAGGGGGGGUGGCGAGGGAGCGUCCCCCGGGAGGUGGGAGCCGCAGUGCCACGCACCCCGCCUACCAAACAGUGCUGGGGGAAGGGAGAGGGACGGAGGCGCAACCGCAGAUGGACCCAGAGCCUGGGCUCUGCUCCCCCACCCCCGCCCUCCCCUCCAACACCCAGAGAGAUGGAGCAAGCACAGGGCUGGGGGAGACUGAGAGACACCUGCAGAGAGAGAGAGAUAGAGAGACAGAGCAAUGGGGAAAGGGAGAUAUGGGAGAGAAGCGCAGGGGGGAGCAGCCCUGAGUGGUGAAAAAGAUUGGAACAGAGACAGGAGAGACGCAGAGAGAAGACAGGAGGCCAGAGAGAGUCUCACAAAGACCAACAGGAGCGAGACAGAGAGACUGACAGAGACCACAGCCGGGGCGGGAGACCCGAGUUAGGGAAACCCGGGAAAGAGGAGUGGGUCUGAGAGAGGCUUCACAAAGUGAAUUAGAGCUGGAGGUCACGGGGAGAGAGCUGCUGGGAGGAGAGUCCCCAGGUCAGGGAGGAAGGAGAGGAGGGGGCAGAGAUGCGGAAAAUUGAGGGAUUAGGGCAGAGGUACAGGAGUGGAUGAGGGGGGCUGCAGGGCCCGAGGCCGGAGCAACGGUGGGGAAAGUCGAGUCCUGCUGGCACAGGCAGACCCCAGGUGCGGCUCACGGCCACCUCAACGCUCACCUGGGAUCUUCUGCAGUCUUGGGGGAGGGGACCAGUGUUGGGGGGGCCUGAUCUAGUUCCUGGCUGCCACCCCAACUCCAAAGCCUGCCCCCUCCUCCUCCUCACCACCAUCCCGCUCCAACCCCAACCCCAACUCCAGCCCCUGCGUCCACCUGAACCCCAGUGGAGUUGGGGUUCUCUUCCCAAGCUGGUCCUCAACUCCUCCGGGUGAAUCCCAGUCUCAUCCUUACAGCCCCAGGCCCUGCACCACCUGCCCCCCUGCCCCCGCACUGCUGGAUCCGCUGGCCCCAGGCUCUGUGUCAGAGACAGUGGCAAUGACUGUGGCAUGGUGGGGGUGCUGGGGAGGGGGGGAGGGACAGGACACCGAAGGCAAGGGUGACCAGCUAGUCCCAGGAGCCAUGAGACCACGGAAGCCCCUCUGGACUGCACUGGCCGAAGGGCAGGGAGGUUGUGUGUCCUGCUCACAGGGCUUGGCACCAAGUAUGUGCUCAGCAAAUACUGUUGGAAGGGAACUCAGGCUACAGGGAGCAAGGCAGGGAGACAGAGGGAUGGUGUGAGUCAAGGAAUAGAAAGGAAGAGACCCAUGGACAGCAGUGGAGGUGGGGAGGCGAGACCCAGGGCAAGGGGGCAGAGAGGUGGGGCACGAGGGCAGGACCCCCGCAUCCGGAGCCAGGCAUGGGGCUGGGCCAGCUGGAACAGGGUGCCUGGGCUUCGGGGAGCCCACAAGGGCCAGAGAAGGGCCAGGGUCCGGCUGGACUGGGGGAGGCUCGGGGCUCCAGGGGCAUCGCACGGUGCUAAUUCAGCGCCAUCGAUCAGACGGGAUGAGAGCAAUAAAUUAUUGUGACAAGAUGCAAUCCUGGCCCGCACACUGCCGCCGAGGCAGAUCGAUCCCUGUCCCCAGCCCCACACCGGGUCCCAUGCCCAGGCCUCGGCCAGCCGGGACACUUCUGCCCACCUCUCUCUCCAUUCCCCCCACCACACACAUGCUUCCACUGACAGCCAGGCGGGGCUGCAGCCCUGGGAAAGAGACAAGAGCAGAGAGGGACCCACGGAGGGAAGGUCAGCCCCCUUUUUUCCCCCUCCCCACCAACAGCUCGCAUCCUCUGGCUUCCUUCAGUCUCUCAUCCACACUAUGACCUGGGAGGUAGCAGCUGCCAUGAUACCCAUUUCACAGAUGCAAAAACUGAGGCUCCAAUCGGGAAAGUAACUUGGCCAAAGUCCCACAGGGGUGAGUGGUGAUAUCUGGACUCAAAUGCAGAUCAGUAUGACUUGAAGUCUCCCUAAGAUUUCCACUGUCAGUGGAGAGGACAAGGAACAGAGACAGGAGAGGAGAGAGGCGACAGAGAAUGAGACAGAGUGUGCAGGAUGCAGACAAACAGAGAGUCAGGGCGCUAUAGAGAGAUAGGGAGGGAUACAGAGACAUUGAGAGAGACAGAAAUGGAGAAAAACAGAACAAAGGGAGGGAGGAAAAGAGACAGAUCCAGGGAUAAGCAAAGGGGGAUGGGCAGAUGGAACAGAGAUGGAGACAGAGAGAGGGGAUAAAAGACAGGUGGGGGGAUAGGAAACAGGAGCCAGGAAAGAGGUAUGUGGUGUAGAGACGGGUAGUUCCAGAGACCCAGGUGUACGUGGGGAGACAGGUGUGUGUCAGCAGACUGCACUCGCUUGGCAGGGGGGGCAGGGGGGAACCAGGAGGCGGAUGACAAGCUUGGCCGGGGUCGGGGCGGGGGGAAGUCACUGUCAGAGAGAGAGAGGUGUGCCAGCAGGUAGGUAGGGUAUCCAAGGACAGGAGUGGAGGUAGAAUGUGGGGUGUCAGAGAGCUAGCAGGUGAUGGGCAAGCAAAUGAUGCAACAGUGAUGAGGUGGACAGACGUGUCUGUGGGGGAAGGUGGUCACCUGAUGGGCAGGUGUAGGGGACAGGGACACUUGCAUGCCUGCAGUCAGAUGGCCUCAGAUUGAUGCAAAUCUCCAGUAUCUACCAGCUUCCGAGCCCAGAAAUGACUCCAUUUCUCUGGACUCAGUUUCCUUCUCUGCAAAAUGGGAAUAAGGGAUAAGAUAAAUGCCUCCCUCCUAAGGGUCUCAUGAAGAUGAAAUGAGACAAUGGAUAUGAAGAACAGAAGACACGGACUGUCACAGAGAUGGGUGUUUAAUAAGCAGUGGCCAGGGACAGGUUAUGAGCAGGUGCUACUCAGAGAGCGCUCCGUGGACCAGCAGCAGCAGCGGCAUGACCUGGAGCUUAUUAGAAAUGCAGAGUGUCAGGCUCCUCCCCAGACCUGCUGCACCAGAGUCUCUGCGGUGAGAUCCAGGUCUCGGGUCCCACAAGCCCUCCAGAUGUCUCCUCUGCCCGCUGUAGUCUAAGAACCCCUGACUUAAGAGCUUCUGCACGCCGCAGCGGGCAGGUGUGUGGACAGCCGUGAACAGGUGUUAUACGUGUUUAACAAAUGCUACAGGUGUUGCUUAUGUGCACUGAGAAGGGUAUUCCCUGAGGAGAUAGAUGGCUGGUGACAAGUUCUGCGGAAAAGGGACAGGUCAUUCCAGAGGGAAGUGGGCUGGAGACAGGUGUGAGGGAUCUGAAGGUUAGGCUCUAAAGGGGCAGGGGCGACAGAUUGUAUGAGCAGGUGGCUGAGAGGGACGGGGUGGGUACACAGUGUUUGAAAAAGCUAUGAAGGAACGAGGGCCACAGUGGAUGUGGUGAGUUAGGGAGAAGGCUAGAGAGUUGGGAGUCAGGUGCUCGUCUGUGGGGCUGGAGCAGGAAUCCCCUUGGGGACAGGCUGGGGAGUCCGGCGGUCUGGCAGAGACCUGGAUGAAGAGAUGUAAAGCAGAGAGAGACUAAGGAGAGGGUGCGUGGAGGGCUCAGUACCUGUUUGCUUGAAGAAAUGAGUGGGCGUGGUACCAGAGCAGCCGAUGCCUAAGAUGGACAGGUGAGCAAUCAGCAGGUGUGUGGAGAUAUUGGUAUGAUCUUGUGAGGCAAGGCAAAAGAAGUGAGGGACAUGGAACGUUAGGUAUGUGGGGAAAGAAGAGAGGCAGAUAAGUAGUGCCUGCAGGGACAGGUAUGCAGGUGAGGCAGGUACCUGUGGACCAGGACAGAUUCCUGGCCCGAAGGCAUGCCAGCAUGGAGCUACACCUUGGGAGACCCAGAGAGAGACAGCGAGGACAGAGGCCAGCAGCACGGGCUUGAAGGAGACAUGGCAGGGGAGGGACCCAAGAAAGAUGGCUACACCUGGUACCUGGGGGCCACUGCACCUGAGAGCCAUGGGGGGAUGGUUAGGAGAGACCUGAGGUUGGCGCAUGCGCUCUUGUCUGGGAUGAGUUACCUGAAAUGACAGGUAUGGAGGAAGCCUUGGAAGUCGGUGUACUUACGUUAAACGAUGGGAGACAGGAGACGCAAGAGAGCAUGUGAGGGAGUUAGGUGCAGGCAGAGAGAGUGCCAUGAAGAAGAUGCAUUUCCCAAGUGACAAGGGCAUGGGAGGUUCUUCUGGAAGGACCAGCGUGAGGGUGGACAAGGUCAGCAUUGUAAGGGAGAGGUAUGGGUGAGAGCCAGGGGUGGGGGUGAGAGGGGGCAGGCGUGACCUGAGGUCAGAGAAGAAGGAUGCUGCUGUGUUGAGCGUGAGUGUGUAUGUGUAAAGGAAGGGACUGCGUGAGAGAGAGUGAGGUAAGACAUGGUGGACAGGUACUGCCUGAAGGAGACAGAGAUGAAGAAAUACAGAUGUGUGAGAAACAAGUGCGUCUAGGGCUUUCCGGGGGAGGUGGGGGUGGUGCAGCUGCAGGUAGAGAGGGAAUAAUGUGGUAUGAAAUGAGACAUGCCGGGACUCAGGUGGAAGGAGCAAAGUUCGGAGAACAUGUUACUUGGAGGUGCAGGUAAGCUUGAUCAUGGGCAUCUUUGGGACAGGUUUCUUCAAGGGACAAGUGUUACUUGGGGGGUGGGACAGAUGAGAGGAAACAGGUGACAUCUGGAGGGGGGUGUAGAUGAAGGGAACAGGUGCGGAGGACAGGGAUUACCUACAGGGCACAGGUGUAAAGAGUCGAAUGUUACCUGGAGGUCCAGAUGUGGGACACCGAUGUGACAGGUGUGUUGAUAGGCAGGUGUGGGUGAAAGAUGUUACCUGGGGCCACAGGUGUGUGCAGCAUGACUCUUUGGGGGUGGUUUGUGGCUUCCGUUUCACUCAUUACCCCCUCUCCUCCUCCCCAGGGGCCGGCUGAGCUCUCGGACCCCUCCCCAGGCUCUGGCCCGCGGCAGGGCACGCAGUUAGCUCUGGGCUCGGCCUGCCGGCAGCCGGGGCUCCAGAGGCUGCUUGGCGAUGCGGAGCGCGUCUGGGCCUCGGCGGGCCGGCCGGGCGGGGGGAGCGGGAGGGGGGGCCGUUUAGCCGUGAUAGAUCCGCGCGCCGCUUGUCUCUUAAUCUCCGGAGCGACCGAUCGAUUCGCUAUUUCCCUUUGUUGCCAGAAAAUUCGAUCCUGGGCCUGGAAUUAGGUCCCCGGCUUAAUCUGAGCGGAAACCAGCGAGGGGGAGACAGAGACAGAGACACUGGGAGAGACAGAGACAGAGAGAUAGUGAGAGACCGAGACAGAGAGAUGCUGAGAAAGAUAGGGGAAGGGCAGAGAUAGGCACAGAGAUUCUGAGAGAUGGUCUAAGAGUUGGACCCAAAGAGGUAGAGACAUGCUGCGAGAGACAGAGAGA